GACGAACGCUGGCGGCGUGCCUAAUACAUGCAAGUCGAACGCAGUGGGGACGGGUGAGUAACACGUGGGUAACCUCCCAUCAGAGGGGAUAACACUUGGAAACAGGUGCUAAACCGAUACUGAUGGAUGGACCCGCGGUGCAUUAGCUAGUUGGUGAGGUAACGGCCCACCAAGGCCACGAUGAAUAGCCGGCCUGAGAGGGUGACCGGCAACACUGGGACUGGGACACGGCCCAGACUCCUACGGGAGGAAGCAGUAGGGAAUCUUCGGCAAUGAACGAAAGUCUGACCGAGCAAGGCCGCGUGGGGGAAGAAGGUUUUCGGAUGGUAAAACUCUUUUGUUAGGGAGGCGGUAUCUAACCAGAAAGCCACGGCUAACUACGUGCCAGCCGCCGCGGUAAUAC
rnacentral:rRNA from 1 species